rnacentral:tRNA from 4 species
GGGGUAUUAGCUCAGCUGGUUAGAGCGCCGGCCUGUCACGUCGGAGGUCGCGGGUUCGAUCCCCGCAUAUCCCGCCA